AUGAGAUCUUUAUCGAGACAUCAGACGUUAUGGGUGGUGUUUUGUUGAGCUUGGUUAAUCUCAAAGGUUCUUCUGCUUCGUAUUUCAACUCCAAAAAAAGAUGCAGCUAAAAUUAUUUAUACUGUGUGUGUUGUUAUAGUUGUUUGUAAGCAUGCUUGAUUGGAAAAUUAAGUUGUCCAAGCUUGUGAAAGACUUGACAUAUUCACAUCAAAAGGAGUUAACUGACAACAACAAAAUGAAAAUGACAGGAUCCAUCGUGGUAUUGUCAUGGAGAAACGAUGAUGAGAAUGAAGAUUGCGGGUGCCUCUUCACAGGGUUCAAGAUGUUGAAGAUUGAAUGAGAGACAUGGUAGACUAGUUGAACAUACACACAAUUUGUCAGAGACUGACACUAAGCCUCUAACUUUACCGUGUAGCUCAUCUUCAAAAAAGAGACAACACGUUCAACGAAGCCUUCUUGUCAUCAACAUUGAUGUUGUCCGAAGGGUUAUAACAAAAAAAACCUCAUAUUAUCUUUGUUCUUGAAAGAUUUAAAAUGGAAAAUAAAUUACAUAUUGUCUUGAUAUAUAUAUACAAUUUAAACACAUUGGCAAAACUUGGAAAAAAAGUGCUUGAACUGAUAGUGACAGAGAAAAUUGGCUAGUAAAAAAAAAAUAAUAUAUAUAAAAAUUGUCUGAAUGAAGAAACUUGGCAAGUGGCCCUGUGGUUAUACUCAUGGCAUACAUGGUUCUCUGCUUGUUGGUAUUGCUGACGUUUCGACAAUUUUUUUCCGUAUUAUCAGUGGAUCGAGUGGAAUAUAUACAGACUUAAAAUAUCGUCGUUCAGUCCAUGAAACAAUCUUUAGAUAAAAUCAAAGUAUUCUUAUCGUGAUAAAAGUAUUGAUUAAAAAAUUAUUCAGACGGAUGAGUUGGUGCCAAAUUUUCAACAACGCAACAAUGAUGUAUAUAUAAUGCACCACUUAAUGGGCAAUCUAAACAAGUAAAGCAUAAAGUUAUUCAAACUUUCUCAAC